rnacentral:rRNA from 1 species
GCGCACCAGUCGCGAAUAGUCUACAAUGGACGAAAGUCUGAUAGUGCGACGCCGUGUGUGCGAUUAAUUCCUUCGGGAUGUAAAGCACUUUUCUAUGAGAUAAAAGCUCUUUAGGUUAAUAGCUUAUUGAGACGGAUAUUAUUAUAGGAAUAAGCUCCGGCUAACUCCGUGCCAGCAGCCGCGGUAAUACGGAAGGAGCGAGCGUUGUCCGGAUUUACUAGGCGUACAGGGCUAGUAGGCGACUAAUUAAGUUAUAUGUUAAAUCCCACGGCUCAACUGUGGUCCUGCAUGUAAUACUGGUUAGAUAGAGUACUGUAGAGGAAGGCAGAAUUCCUGGAGUAGCGGUGGAAUGCGCAGAUAUCAGGAAGAAUACCAAAAGCGAAGGCAGCCUUCUGGGCAGUUACUGACGCUGAAUAGCGAAGGUGUGGGUAGCGAACAGGAUUAGAUA